GCCUCUGAGGCCGGUGGUAACGGGGACCGGCUGCCGGUGCGAGUGCCCGCGCCAGCUCACUCGUGUACUGAAGCCUUCCGUGUUCUGUUGACGUCACUGCCGGAAGCGCAUCCCCGCGAUAUUCGGUGUGUGCGUCUUCUCCCUCGGCGUGCGGCCGCCUAUGAUGCGUCGGCGGGAGGCUUCACCGGAGAGCUCCAGCGAGGGCAUCGGGGACCUUCUCAGGCGUGGCUGGGCCCGAGGCGGCUGCUCCGUCACUGUUCUUUCUCCGAGAGCUGACGAGCCACGAGCACAACCUGAACUGGGCGGUCGGCAAGUGCAGUAGAUGAAUCUACAAGUGACCCUGAAGUUAAGUUGUAUGCUGGUUCCCCCCCCCCAUGCGUCUGAUACUUAGGGUGGAGUAGGUACUAAAAUACCUGAGAAGAUAGAUGAUUUUUGGUCCACUGAAAAACUAUGCAAGUUGGAAAAGGGUAAUCCUCCAAAGGAGGACAUUUGAAGAGAAGCAACUGGACCUAGUAAUACAGUAGUUCAUUUCAGUCAUUUUCUUUGAGACAAGCAUCCAAGUAUAGGAGACGUAUCAAAAGGUAAUAGGUUUAAAAUGGCAGGAAAUUUAUUAAGUGCUAUCACUCUUCUAGGCAGUUGAGCAUUGAAAGAAAUGUGGGUUAAGUGCUUCUAUAUGAAAGUUUGAGAGGGAGUACUGAGCAAAGGAACACCAGAAGCUGCUUGGAGCUGUGUCAGAACCAAGUUUGCUCACUGAUUCAGACUUUUUAAUUUUUAUUAUUCUCUUACAAAUCUGAAUGAAAACAAAUGAAGGAAUGCUGAUAUUUGUCUGAAAAACAGAGACUAUUUGAGGAUCUCUUUAGAUAAAUUAGGUGAAAAAAAGAUGGAAAUAAGGAUGCAGAGGGCGGUAGUUUUUCAGGAAAAUGGACGCAGAGAUGUGCGGUUUCCAUCCAUUACUCAGAGCUUCAAUGCAGAUGACUGUACUUGUCUUUGGCUGAAUUAAAUGAGGUUUAUAUCACC